AGUGAACGCUGGCGGUAGGCCUAACACAUGCAAGUCGAACGGCAGCACAGUAAGAGCUUGCUCUUACGGGUGGCGAGUGGCGGACGGGUGAGGAAUACAUCGGAAUCUACUUUUUCGUGGGGAAUAACGUAGGGUAACUUACGCUAAUACCGCAUACGACCUACGGGUGAAAGCAGGGGAUCUUCGGACCUUGCGCGAUUGAAUGAGCCGAUGUCGGAUUAGCUAGUUGGCGGGGUAAAGGCCCACCAAGGCGACGAUCCGUAGCUGGUCUGAGAGGAUGAUCAGCCACACUGGAACUGAGACACGGUCCAGACUCCUACGGGAGGCAGCAGUGGGGAAUAUUGGACAAUGGGCGCAAGCCUGAUCCAGCCAUACCGCGUGGGUGAAGAAGGCCUUCGGGUUGUAAAGCCCUUUUGUUGGGAAAGAAAAGCAGCAGGUUAAUACCCCGCUGUUCUGACGGUACCCAAAGAAUAAGCACCGGCUAACUUCGUG
rnacentral:rRNA from 1 species